rnacentral:tRNA from 1 species
AACGUCUUAACGCAGAGGAAGCGUGUCAGGCUCAUAUUGCCGGUGACCUGAAAGUCCCAUGAUCGAAACAUGGAGACGUUA